rnacentral:rRNA from 1 species
AGAGUUUGAUCAUGGCUCAGAACGAACGCUGGCGGCGUGGAUAAGACAUGCAAGUCGAACGGGAUUUGUUUGGUAGCAAUAUCAAGCAAGUCCAGUGGCGUAAGGGUGCGUAACACGUGGGGAAUCUGCCGAGAAGUGGGGGAUAGCUCGUCGAAAGGCGAAUUAAUACCGCAUGUGGUUAGUGGGGACAUCCUCACGAUACCAAAGCCGGGGCAACCUGGCGCUUCUUGAUGACCCCGCGGCCUAUCAGCUAGUUGGUGAGGUAACGGCUCACCAAGGCUAUGACGGGUAGCUGGUCUGAGAGGACGACCAGCCACACUGGAACUGAGACACGGUCCAGACACCUACGGGUGGCAGCAGUCGAGAAUUUUUCUCAAUGGGGGAAACCCUGAAGGAGCGACGCCGCGUGGAGGAUGAAGGUCUUCGGAUUGUAAACUCCUGUCAUUUGGGAACAAUGUGCAUGGAUUAACUGUCGAUGCAUUGAUAGUACCAGAAGAGGAAGAGACGGCUAACUCUGUGCCAGCCGCCGCGGUAAUAC